rnacentral:lncRNA from 1 species
GAAAGCCUCAGCCUCACUCAAGGGAACUGAAAUCUUCACAGUGGUCCCAACUAAAGAAAGCACUUUGAAGAGUCAAAAAUAGGAUUCAGCCAUACUUAACAUACAUCCAACUCUUUGGCAUACUAAUAUCGGACAAGGGAAAUUGAAGUUGCACAAAGCAGACACAUGGACUACUAUUUGACAGUGUGUUUCCAUUUCAUACAUACAUAUUUGGCCACUGUUACUAACUAACAUGAGAUAAGUACUGGAGAUACAAAAAUAAAUAUAGCCGGAUUCCUUUCCUUAAGGAGAUGAUGAUCUCGUCAAGGAGGAACAGGAUUAAACCAUGAUGGAAUAUAUGAGAGAACAGGAUCAAGACAAAGGUGAUCUGCAAACUCAGAAGCUACCUGACUUAGUUUGGAUGGGAUCUGGGAAGAGAGUUUGUGGAAGAUGCAUUGCUUUCUCCACCAUCUCUGUAAAAAAACUUUUCUUUUUUUUCUUUUUUUUUUUUUUUUGAGAUGGAGACUUGUCCUGUCACCCAGGCUGGAGUGCAAUGGUGCGAUCUCAGCUCACUGCAACCUCUGCCUCCUGGGUUCAAGUGAUUCCCCUACCUCAGCCUCCCGAGUAGCUGGGACUACAGGCACGCACCACCACACCAGGCUAAUUUUUUAUAUCUUUAGUAGAGAC